AGUGAACGCUGGCGGUAGGCCUAACACAUGCAAGUCGAACGGCAGCACAGUAAGAGCUUGCUCUUACGGGUGGCGAGUGGCGGACGGGUGAGGAAUACAUCGGAAUCUACUUUUUCGUGGGGGAUAACGUAGGGAAACUUACGCUAAUACCGCAUACGACCUACGGGUGAAAGCAGGGGAUCUUCGGACCUUGCGCGAUUGAAUGAGCCGAUGUCGGAUUAGCUAGUUGGCGGGGUAAAGGCCCACCAAGGCGACGAUCCGUAGCUGGUCUGAGAGGAUGAUCAGCAACACUGGAACUGAGACACGGUCCAGACGCCUACGGGAGGCAGCAGUGGGGAAUAUUGGACAAUGGGCGCAAGCCUGAUCCAGCCAUACAGCGUGGGUGAAGAAGGCCUUCGGGUUGUAAAGCCCUUUUGUUGGGAAAGAAAAGCAGCAGGUUAAUACCCCGCUGUUCUGACGGUACCCAAAGAAUAAGCACCGGCUAACUUCGUG
rnacentral:rRNA from 1 species